GAGAAGGUAAAUAAAAAUCUAAAGAGCUGCUAAUUCUUUAAGACCGGGGUUAAAGCCCCCGGCCCUCUCG
rnacentral:tRNA from 1 species